rnacentral:rRNA from 1 species
UACGUAGGGCGCGAGCGUUGUCCGGAAUUAUUGGGCGUAAAGAGCUCGUAGGCGGCUUGUCACGUCGGGUGUGAAAGCCCGGGGCUUAACCCCGGGUCUGCAUUCGAUACGGGCAGGCUAGAGUGUGGUAGGGGAGAUCGGAAUUCCUGGUGUAGCGGUGAAAUGCGCAGAUAUCAGGAGGAACACCGGUGGCGAAGGCGGCAUCCUGGACCAACACUGACACUGAGGAGCGAAAGCCAGGGGAGCAAACGGG